rnacentral:tRNA from 1 species
GCCUGGGUGGCUUAGUUGGUUGAGCGUCCGACUUCAGCUCUUACAGUCUAUGGGUUCGAGCCCCGUGUCAGGCU